rnacentral:rRNA from 1 species
AGAGUUUGAUCAUGGCUCAGAGCGAACGCUGGCGGCAGGCCUAACACAUGCAAGUCGAGCGCCGUAGCAAUACGGAGCGGCAGACGGGUGAGUAACGCGUGGGAACGUGCCCUUCGGUUCGGAAUAACUCAGGGAAACUUGGGCUAAUACCGGAUACGUCCGAAAGGAGAAAGAUUUAUCGCCGAAGGAUCGGCCCGCGUAAGAUUAGCUAGUUGGUGAGGUAACGGCUCACCAAGGCUCUGAUCUUUAGCUGGUCUGAGAGGACGAUCAGCCACACUGGGACUGAGACACGGCCCAGACUCCUACGGGAGGCAGCAGUGGGGAAUAUUGGACAAUGGGCGCAAGCCUGAUCCAGCCAUGCCGCGUGAGUGAUGAAGGCCUUAGGGUUGUAAAGCUCUUUUGGCAGGGACGAUAAUGACUGUACCUGCAGAAUAAGCCCCGGCCAACUUCGUGCCAGCAGCCGCGGUAAUACGAAGGGGGCUAGCGUUGCUCGGAAUCACUGGGCGUAAAGCGCACGUAGGCGGGUUGUUAAGUCAGGGGUGAAAUCCUGGAGCUCAACUCCAGAACUGCCUUUGAUACUGGCAAUCUUUGAGUCCGGGAGAGGUGGGUGGAACUGCGAGUGUAGAGGUGAAAUUCGUAGAUAUUCGCAAGAACACCAGUGGCGAAGGCGGCUCACUGGCCCGGUACUGACGCUGAGGUGCGAAAGCGUGGGGAGCAAACAGGAUUAGAUACCCUAGUAGUCC